rnacentral:misc_RNA from 1 species
AACGGUCUAUACCUGCGGUACCUGCGGAGGGAUCAUUAAUGAGAAGCUGCCCCUCGCGGGUAGAUCUCCCACCCUUUGUAAACUUACCUUUGUUGCUUUGGCAGGCCCGUCUCCGGACCGCCGGCUUCGGCUGGCCAGUGCCUGCCAGAGGAUUCUAAAACUCUGUCUGUCAGUGUUGUCUGAGUCUAUAUACAAUCGUUAAAACUUUUAACAACGGAUCUCUAGAUCGGAAGAGCACAC